rnacentral:lncRNA from 10 species
GAAAGAGUACAGGAACACCAGCCACUCCAGAAAGAGACCGCUCCUCUUGAACCCGCCCACUUAACUCCUCCCGCAGGCUCUACGUUCGAAUGCCUCCACCCUGAUUUUAGAAGGUUAUAGGCGCACAAUCAAGGAAAUGUCGACAGAGGGCGUCCUUGCUCUAAGCAGCAUUGUCCACCUGCUUCCUGAGCGGGGUUCAGUGAUUAUUCUCUGAACCUGGACUUCUGGCGUUGUGCCUCUAUACUCCAUUUCCCUGCUUCAAAGCUCUCCUAAUUGACUUUAUUUUCUGACACUCCCCCACUUUACCCCCCAGGAGUGUUGCUUCUUUUAUUUCUUUGCCUGGAUGGUCGUUUGGCUUAGUAAAUAGACCUAGACCCCACCCCAUGGUGUAGAAGCAGUUGGUGAACUUCUAUAAAGGGCCAGACAGUACACAUUUUAGGCUCUGCGAUCUCCUUAUGGUUGAAAGUUCUACUGUUGUAGCACAAAAUCAGCCUUGGACAGUAAGCAAAUAGGUGUGGCUGUGUUCCAACAAAACUUCACUGAAAUUUGAAUUUCACUGUAAUUUUCACGUGUCACGAAAUAUUUUAACCGUUUAAAAAUGUAAAAAUAAUGUGUGUGUGUGUGCGCGCGCGUGUUAGCUUGGGCCGCCAGCUAGCAGUAGUUUGCCAAUUCUUGGUAGAGAAAGAGAGCAGUCUCCACCUAGGUCUGGGAAUUCAGGGAGAGAGGUGCUGGCCAAAAUAACAGUUCAUGGCCUGCUUUUCUAGAUCUGGGAGUGAGUAGGACUACUACUAGACUCUCAUUUGACCUCUCCUUUGGGAAUCGCAGGGUAUAUAGUGCCCACUGAUUGGUGGGAAUUUUGUCAAGGUGGGUGUGAUAAUCUGGCUUCUUUCCCUUCCCAGCUCUUUAUAGUCUUUCUUUCUUUUUUAUCGUUCUCUCCCUCUCUCUCUUUAGAGAUGUGGUCUUGCUAUGUUGCCCGGGCUGAGUGCAGUGACUAUUCACAGGCCGGAUCUAGUGCACUGCAGUCUUGAACUCCUGGCUUACAGUCCUGCUGGUUCUGAGAGGCAGGGGAAGAAACGGCCACCAUGCUCUGCAGCUAGGUCUCAGCAUGAGGACCAAGAACCCUGGUGUUCCUCCACUCAUCGGAGCCGUAUCAUUUUGGUGCAUUGGCCAGGAAAGGAAAUUCAAUCAUGAGACUGGGGGUACCGGAACAACCCACAUGUAAAUAAUCAGUUGAAUCCUGAACAUGAGACAUUUUUCAAGACAACUGACCUGCUCUCUUAAAGAGGAAAAACUGUCCGGGCGCGGUGGUUCACGCCUGUAAUGCCAGUACUUUG